GGGGGACACAGGGAUACAAGGACGUGAGACAUGGGACAUAGGGACACGGGGACACAGGGAUACGAGGACGUGAGACAUGGGACAUAGGGACACGGGGACACAGGGAUACGAGGAUGUGAGACAUGGGACAUGGGGACACAGGGACAUGGGGACACAAGGAUGUGAGACAUGGGACAUGGGGACACGAGGAUAUGGGGAUGCAGGGACAUGGGGACAUGAGACAUGGGACGUGGGAACACAGGGAUGUGGGGACAUGGGAACACAGGGAUGUGGAGACACAGGGAUGUGGGGACACAGGGACAUGGGGACACAGGGAUGUGGGGACACAGGGACAUGGGGACACAGGGACAUGGAGACACAGGGACAUGAGGAUGUGGGGGUCAUGGGGACACGGGGACAUGGGGACACAGGGUCAUGGGGACAUGGGGACAUGGGGACACAGGGACAUGAGGAUGUGGGGGUCAUGGGGACACAGGGACAUGGGGACACAGGG
rnacentral:lncRNA from 1 species